AUUGCUUCUGGGCCUUUUGGCUAAGAUCAAGUGUAAAAGUUUUUUUUUUAAAAAAAAAAACCUCUUGGCUUAGUUUAAUCCUAUUAUUAGGUCAUAGAGAACAAAA
rnacentral:snRNA from 1 species